CCCACCAGCGAAGCAGCCAAAAAAAUUAUCCUUUACCAAGAAGUUCAAAGUCUGGGCCAAGAUGUCCAAACAUGACAAACAAAAGGUCCAAGCUUUACCAAAAAAUGGAGGCGAUGAGUAAGUGACUGUGCAAACAUACAAUGUUAACAUUCACAUUCCGUAAUAGUCUAUAUUUCUCACUGUGUUCAGUUUUUUUGGGUUGUUGAGAUAUAUGCAAUGUGAAUAUUUACAUUGGUUUGUUAAUAAUGCACAGGCUGCUGGUGUGGAAAGGAGAUUCGAAGGCUACACAUGUGUAUUUUGAUGACAUUGUCAACCUUAUCAAGGAGGAAUCAAUACACAGCAAUCUCAUAGAUGCAUAUGCUGAACUGUUGCAUGAACAACAAGAGGUGGUCAACCCAACUUCGGAUGAAGCCUCAUUGAUCUUCACGAGCAUGUGUUUGAAAGUGAUACGAGAGUACCAUCC